CACGGAGUUAGCCGAUCCUUAUUCUUACGAUACCGUCAAGCUCCUAUACAUAGGAGUGUUUCUUCUCGUACAAAAGCAGUUUACAAUCCAUAGGACCGUCAUCCUGCACGCGGCAUGGCUGGUUCAGACUUGCGUCCAUUGACCAAUAUUCCUCACUGCUGCCUCCCGUAGGAGUCUGGUCCGUGUCUCAGUACCAGUGUGGGGGAUCUCCCUCUCAGGACCCCUACCCAUCGUAGCCUUGGUAAGCCGUUACCUUACCAACCAGCUAAUGGGACGCAUGCUCAUCUUUCACCGUUGUGACUUUAAUUAUAAAGUGAUGCCACUCCAUAAUACUAUGAGGUAUUAAUCCAAAUUUCUCUGGGCUAUCCCUCUGUGAAAGGCAGAUUGCAUACGCGUUACGCACCCGUGCGCCGGUCUCAAAGUCCGAAGACUUCUACCCCUCGACUUGCAUGUGUUAAGCCUGCCGCUAGCGUUCAUCCUGAGCCAGGAUA
rnacentral:rRNA from 1 species